rnacentral:rRNA from 1 species
CGACUCCAGGUCAUGCGGGAUACCGCUGAGUUUAAGCAUAUCAAUAAGUAGAGGAAAAGAAUCUUACCAGGAUUCCUCUAGUAACGGCGAAUGAACCGGGAAAAGCCCAGCUUGAGAAUCAGGCGCCACCAGUGUCUGAAUUGUAAUCUGGAGAAGCGUCUUCAGUGGUGGACCUGGCCCAAGUCCCUUGGAAAGGGGCACCGGAGAGGGUGAGAGCCCCGUUGUGCCUGGACCCUAUCGUAGCACGAGGCACUAUCUACGAGUCAGGUUGUUUGGGAAUGGAGCCCUAAUAGGGAGGUAAAUUUCGUCCAAGGCUAAAUACGGGCGAGAGACCGAUAGCGAACAAGUAUCGCGAGGGAAAGAUGAAAAGGACUUUGAAAAGAGAGUCAAAGAAUGCUUGAAAUUGUCGGGAGGGAAGCGGAUGGGGGGCGACGAUGUGCCCCAGCCGGAUAUGGAAUGGCGAGAGCUGGUCCACCGAUUGGCUCAGGGCAUGGACCGACGCGGGUCGUGGCUGCGGCCCAAGCUUGGGACUUUGAUACGCCUGUGGAGACGUCGUCGCCUCGAUCGUGGGAUCCAGCACGCGCCAUCUUGGUGUGCUUUGGCACUUGCAUGGUCCGGGCGUCAGCCUGCGGGCUCCCCAUUCGGCCGUCUUGAAACAUGGACCAAGGAGUCUGACAUGUGUACGAGUCAAAAGGCUAGAAAACCCGUAAGGCGUAAGAAAGCUGAUUGGCGGGAUCCAUCGUGGGUGCAUCGUCGACAGACCUUGAUCUUCUGAGAAGGGUUCGAGUGAGAGCUUGCCUAUCGGGACCCGAAAGAUGGUGAACUAUGCCUGAGCAGGGCAAAGCAGAGGAAACUCUACUACAAGCCUGCAGCGAUUCUGAUGUGCAAAUCGUUCAUCUGACUUAGGUAUAGGGGCGAAAGACUAAUCGAACCAUCUAGUAGCUGGUUCUCUCUGAAGUUUCCCUCAGGAUAGCUGGAGCCCUUAGCGAGUUCUAUUAGGUAAAGCCAAAGAUUAGAGGCAUCAGGGGCACAAUGCCCUCGACCUAUUCUCAAACAUUAAAUAGGUAGGACGGUGUGGCUACUUCGUUGAGCCGCGCCACCGAAUCGAGAGCUCCAAGUGGGCCAUUUUUGGUAAGUAAAACUGGCGAUAUAGGAUGAACCAGAAGUCGGGUUAUGGUGCCCAACUGUGCUCUAACCUAGAACCCACAAAGGGUAUUGGUCGAUUAAGACAGUAAGACGAUGGUCAUAGAAGUCGAAAUCCGCUAAGGAGUGUGUAACAACUCACUUGCCGAAUCAACUAUCCCCGAAAAUGGAUGGCGCUUAAGCGUGCGACCUAUACCCAAUCAUCGAGGUAAGGGCCAAGCCCCGAUGAGUAGGAGGACGCGGCGGUCACUGCAAAACCUGAGGCGUGAGCCUGGGCGGAGCGACCGUCGGUGUAGAUCUUGGUGGUAGUAGCAAAUAUUCAAAUGAGAACUUUGAAGGCCAAAGAGGGGAAAGGUUCCAUGUGAACAGCACUUGCACAUGGGUUAGUCGAUCCUAAAAGAUGGGGGAAGCCCAUCCGAUAGCGCGUCCAGCGUGAGCUUCGAAAGGGAAUCAGGUUAAAAUUCCUCAACCGGGACGCGGCAGUUGAUGGAAACAUUAGGGAGUCCGGAGACGUUGGCGAGGGCCACGGGAAGAGUUAUCCUUUCUAUUUAAUGGCCUGCCCAACCUGGAAACGGUUCAGUAGGAGGUAAGGUCCAGCGGCCGGAAGAGUACCGCAUAUUGUGUAGUGUCCGGUGCGCCCCCAACGGCCCCUGAAAAUCUGGAGGACCAAAUGUCGUCCGUGCUCGGUCAUACUCAUAACCGCAUCAAGUCUCCAAGGUGAACAACCUCUGGUCAAUGGAACAAUAUCGGCAAGGGAAGUCGGCAAAAUGGAUCUGUAACCUUGGGAAAUGGAUUGCCUCUGAGGGCUGGGCAUGGGGGUCCCAGUCCCGAACCCGUCAACUACCGGUGCACUGCUCAAGCUGCUUUUGUGGCGAGAGCGGGUUGCCGCGUGCCGGCCGGGGGACAGGUUAGGAACAAUUUCCUCGGGGACCUUCCCCGGGUGAUGAAAAGUCGACUCAAAAUUGGUACAGACAAGGGGAAUCCAACUAUUUAAUUAAAACAAAGCAUUGCGAUGGUCCCUGCAGAUGCUCACGUAAUGUGACUUCUGCCCAGUACUCUAAAUGUCAAAGUGAAGAAAUUCAACCAAGCGCGGGUAAACGGAGGGAGUAACUAUGACUCUCUUAGGGUAGCCAAAUGCCUCGUCAUCUAAUUAGUGAUGCGCAUGAAUGGAUUAAUGAGAUUCCCACAAAUAGAGAACGUGAACUAGGUUUAGACCGUCGUGAGACAGGUUAGUUUUACCCUACUGAUGGCCGCAUCGCAAUAGUAAUUCAACCUAGUACGAGAGGAACCGUUGAUUCACACAAUUGGUCAUCACGCUUGGUUGAAAAGCCAGUGGCGCGAAGCUACCGUGCGAUGGAUUAUGACUGAAUGCCUCUAAGUCAGAAUCUGGGCUAGAAGUGACGCACGCGCCCGUCGCCCGAUUGCCGACUUGCAGUAGGGGCCUUUGGCCCCCAAGGGCACUUGUCGUAGGUACAGUGACCGCUGCGGACAAGUCGCAGGUGCCUCCUUAUAGCAUAAUUCCCACCGAGCGGCGGGUAGAAUCCUUUGCAGAUGACUUAAAUACACGACAGGGUAUUGUAAGUGGCAGAGUGGCCUUGCUGCCACGAUCCACUGAGAUUCAGCCCUUUGUCGCUUCGAUUCGU